rnacentral:rRNA from 1 species
UACAGAGGGGGCAAGCGUUAUUCGGAAUUAUUGGGCGUAAAGGGCGCGUAGGCGGCCUGGCAAGUGACGGGUGAAACCCCUCGGCUUAACCGAGGAACUGCCUGUCAGACUGUUAGGCUUGAGACCGGGAGAGGUGAGUGGAAUUCCCAGUGUAGCGGUGAAAUGCGUAGAUAUUGGGAGGAACACCAGUGGCGAAGGCGGCUCACUGGACCGGUACUGACGCUGAGGCGCGAAAGCGUGGGGAGCAAACAGG